rnacentral:rRNA from 1 species
GACAGAGGGUGCUAGCAUUGUUCGGAAUUACUGGGCGUAAAGCGCACGUAGGCGGAUCGUUAAGUCGAGGGUGAAAUCCUGGAGCUCAACUCCAGAACUGCCUUCGAUACUGGCGAUCUAGAGUCCGGAAGAGGUGAGUGGAACUCCUAGUGUAGAGGUGGAAUUCGUAGAUAUUAGGAAGAACACCAGUGGCGAAGGCGGCUCACUGGUCCGGUACUGACGCUGAUGUGCGAAAGCGUGGGGAGCAAACAGG